rnacentral:rRNA from 1 species
UACGUAGGGCGCAAGCGUUGUCCGGAAUUAUUGGGCGUAAAGAGCUCGUAGGCGGCUUGUCACGUCGGAUGUGAAAGCCCGAGGCUUAACCUCGGGUCUGCAUUCGAUACGGGCUAGCUAGAGUGUGGUAGGGGAGAUCGGAAUUCCUGGUGUAGCGGUGAAAUGCGCAGAUAUCAGGAGGAACACCGGUGGCGAAGGCGGCAUCCUGGACCGAUACUGACGCUGAGGAGCGAAAGCCAGGGGAGCAAACGGG